rnacentral:rRNA from 1 species
ACGGUACUUUCAGAAGAAGGUGCGGCCAACUACGUGCCAGCAGCCGCGGUGACACGUAGGCACCAAGCGUUGUCCGGAUUUAUUGGGCGUAAAGAGCUCGUAGGCGGUUCGGUAAGUCGGGGUGUGAAAACUUUUGGGCUCAACCCAAAGCGUGCAUUCGAUACUGCCGUGACUAGAGUUCGGUAGGGGAGUGGGGAAUUCCUAGUGUAGCGGUGAAAUGCGCAGAUAUUAGGAGGAACACCGGUGGCGAAGGCGCCACUCUGGGCCGAAACUGACGCUGAGGAGCGAAAGCGUGGGUAGCAAACAGGAUUAGAUACCCUGGUAGUCCACGCCGUAAACGUUGGGCACUAGGUGUGGGUCUCAACCAACGAGAUCCGCGCCGUCGCAAACGCAUUAAGUGCCCCGCCUGGGGAGUACGGCCGCAAGGUUAAAACUCAAAGGAAUUGACGAG